UACAGAGGUGGCAAGCGUUGUUCGGAAUUACUGGGCGUAAAGGGCGCGUAGGCGGUCGGGCAAGUCCUGUGUGAAAUCCCUCGGCUCAACUGAGGAACUGCACGGGAAACUGCUCGACUGAGUUCGGGAGAGGGAAGCGGAAUUCCGGGUGUAGCGGUGAAUGCGUAGAUAUCCGGAGGAACACCGGUGGCGAAGGCGGCUUCCUGGACCGACACUGACGCUGAGGCGCGAAAGCUAGGGGAGCAAACGGG
rnacentral:rRNA from 1 species